UACGGGGGGGGCAAGCGUUGUUCGGAAUUACUGGGCGUAAAGGGCUCGUAGGUGGCCAACUAAGUCAGACGUGAAAUCCCUCGGCUUAACCGGGGAACUGCGUCUGAUACUGGAUGGCUUGAGUUCGGGAGAGGGAUGCGGAAUUCCAGGUGUAGCGGUGAAAUGCGUAGAUAUCUGGAGGAACACCGGUGGCGAAGGCGGCAUCCUGGACCGACACUGACGCUGAUGAGCGAAAGCGUGGGGAGCGAACAGG
rnacentral:rRNA from 1 species